rnacentral:lncRNA from 1 species
GUCCCUGGUUGAUAGUUGUUUUCAUUAUUUAUCCGUUGGUCCCUGGUGGAUAGUUGUUCUCAUUGGUUAUCCGUUGGUCCCUGGUGGAUAGUUGUUUUCAUUGUUUAUCCGUUGGUCCCUGGUGGAUAGUUGUUCUCAUUGGUUAUCCGUUGGUCCCUGGUGGAUAGUUGUUUUCAUUGUUUAUUCGUUGGUCCCUGGUGGAUAGUUGUCUCAUUGUUUAUUCAUUGUUCCCUGGUGGAUAGUUGUUUCAUUGUUUAUUCGUUGUUCCCUGGUGGAUAGUUGUAUCAUUGUUUAUUCGUUGGUCCCUGGUUGAUAGUUGUGUUCAUUGUUUAUUCGUUGGUCCCGUGGAUAGUUGUCUCAUUGUCUGGUGGAUAGUUGUGUUCAUUGUUUAUUCGUUGGUCCCUGGUGGAUAGUUGUGUUCAUUGUUUAUUCGUUGGUCCCUAGUGGAUAGUUGUCUCAUUGUUUAUUCGUUGGUCCCUGGUGGAUAGUUGUCUCAUUGUUUAUUCGUUGGUCCCUGGUGGAUAGUUGUGUUCAUUGUUUAUUCGUUGGUCCCUGGUGGAUAGUUGUCUCAUUGUUUAUUCGUUGGUCCCUAGUGGAUAGUUGUUUUCAUUGUUUAUUCCUUGGUCCCUGGUGGAUAGUUGUUUCAAUGUUUUUUCGCUGGUCCCUGAUUGAUAGUUGAGUUCAUUGUUUAUUCAUUGUUCCCUGGUGGAUAGUUGUAUCAUUGUUUAUUCGUUGGUCCCUGGUUGAUAGUUGUGUUCUUUGUUUAUUCGUUGGUCCCUUGUGGAUAGUUUUGGUCUCUUGUGGAUAGUUGAGUUCAUUGUUUAUUCGUUGGUCCCUGGUGGGUAGUUGCCUCAUUGUUUAUUCGUUGGUCCCUAGUUGAUAGUUGUGUUCAUUGUUUAUUCGUUGGUCCCUGGUGGAUAGUUUUGGUCUCUUGUGGAUAGUUGAGUUCAUUGUUUAUUCGUUGGUCCCUGGUGGAUAGUUGUGUUUUCGUUGGUCCCUGGUGGAUAGUUGUCUCAUUGUUUAUUCGUUGGUCCCUAGUUGAUAGUUGUGUUCAUUGUUUAUUCGUUGGUCCCUGGUGGAUAGUUUUGUUGGUCCUUGUGGAUAGUUGUGUUCAUUGUUUAUUCGUUGGUCCCUGGUGAUAGUUGUGUUCAUUGUUUAUUCGUUGGUCCCUGUUGAUAGUUAUGUUUCAUUGUUUAUUCGUUGGUCCCUGGUGGAUAGUUGUUUUCAUUGUUUAUUCGUUGGUCCCUGGUGGAUAGUUGUCUCAUUGUUUAUUCGUUGAUCCCUGUUUGAUAGUUGUCUCAUUGUUAUUCGUUGGUCCCUGGUGGAUAGUUGUCUCAUUGUUUAUUCGUUGGUCCCUAGUUGAUAGUUAUGUUCAUUGUUUAUUCUUGGUCCCUGGUGGAUAGUUGUCUCAUUGUUUAUUCGGUGGUCUCUGGUUGAUAGUUAUGUUCAUUGUUUAUUCGUUGGUCCUUGGUGGAUAGUUGAGUUCAUUGUUUAUUCGUGGUCCCUGGUGGAUAGUUGUCUCAUUGUUUAUUCGUUGGUCCCUGGUGGAUAGUUGUCUCAUUGUUUAUUCGUUAGUCCCUGGUGGAUAGUUGUCUCAUUGUUUAUUCGUUGGUCCCUGGUUGAUAGUUUUGUUCAUUGUUUAUUCGUUGGUCCCUGGUUGAUAGUUGUGUUCAUUGUUUAUUCGUUGGUCCCUGAUGGAUAGUUGUCUCGUUCAAUUUGGCAAUAAUAACACAUAUCCUAGUAAUCAACAUAAUUUACUUUUUUGUUUUUAUUAUAUGGCUUUUCAAGCUACGGUUUUUGUAAAGAUUUUUGCAUUCGUGAUACUGAAUUAGGGGUCUUGAAUCAGUCUUUAUUCAUCUUAUGUAGAUAUAUUGUAAGGUCUACAAUGUUUUAGUUUUAUUUGACAUGCAUUUCUUUAUUAUAACCAUUGUUUUGUUUUUCGAUAUGCUCAUGCGUAAAUCUUACAACUGCUUUAGAUUUACUGAACCACAACCGAUAUCUACAAGGGAACUAUACAACAUAACAGACUUGUUAGUCUGAGACUGAUUCCUUUAAUGAUCAGCC